AAAAAAGAAAAGAGAAAAAAGAAAUGAGGCAAGCAACAAAAGCCAAACAUGUAAAUUCCUCAGAGAGAUUAGAAUAAUCUUCUCUUCUCUUUCUUCCUUUCUUCCCUCUUCUCA
rnacentral:ribozyme from 13 species